CAACGAUUAUGAAAACCUGGAUCGCAUCGAUCAACUGCUGACUGAACCGUUAAUUAAUGAAACAAUGGGUCAGAGCAAAUCUGUCAACAGAUGUGUACUGCAAGAUAUUUCAAACGUCGACUUGUCAACGCUUGUCUCACAACCGGGGUUUGCUACACCCAAACCGAAGACAUCACUGUCACUCAGUUCACGGAGACGCAACAAACCCGUUAGUCCUAUUCCGAGGAUUUCACGAAGCCCUCGAUUACAUGUUGUACCCCCAGCUGGAAACGGUGCAAGACACUAUUUUGGAGAAAAAAAACAUCGGUCUUCAUCAGGAGAAAGGAGAAGCGAUCAAACAACGUUAC